rnacentral:rRNA from 1 species
AUACGGGAGGCAGCAGUGGGGAAUUUUCCGCAAUGGGCGAAAGCCUGACGGAGCAAUACCGCGUGAGGGAUGGAGGCCUAUGGGUUGUAAACCUCUUUUUUCAGGGAGGAAUCAAUGACGUGUACCUGAAGAAUAAGCAUCGGCUAACUCCGUGCCAGCAGCCGCGGUAAGACGGAGGAUGCAAGUGUUAUCCGGAAUCACUGGGCGUAAAGCGUCUGUAGGUGGCUAAUUAAGUCAACUGUUAAAUCUUGAGGCUUAACUUCAAAAUCGCAGUCGAAACUGGUUGGCUAGAGUAUAGUAGAGGUAAAGGGAAUUUCCAGUGGAGCGGUGAAAUGCGUAGAUAUUGGAAAGAACACCGAUGGCGAAGGCACUUUACUGGGCUAUCACUAACACUCAGAGACGAAAGCUUGGGUAGCAAAUGGGAUUAGAUACCCCUGUAGUCCC